rnacentral:rRNA from 1 species
GGAUUAGAUACCCUGGUAGUCCACGCCGUAAACGAUGUCUACUUGGAGGUUGUGGCCUUGAGCCGUGGCUUUCGGAGCUAACGCGUUAAGUAGACCGCCUGGGGAGUACGGUCGCAAGGUUAAAACUCAAAUGAAUUGACGGGGGCCCGCACAAGCGGUGGAGCAUGUGGUUUAAUUCGAAGCAACGCGAAGAACCUUACCUACUCUUGACAUCCUGCGAACUUGGUAGAGAUACCUUGGUGCCUUCGGGAACGCAGUGACAGGUGCUGCAUGGCUGUCGUCAGCUCGUGCUG